ACGGCAGAUCUACUUCUCUCUCACUUUUUUCGGUGGCUUUAGUUUUAAUUUAUCCAUUUAUUUAUUAUUCAUUCACAUUUCCAUGCUGACGUGACUUCUCCUUCGUGACAAAAAAAAAUUAUUCAUUCACAUUUCACAUUUCUCAUUAGCUCAACCACUUUAGCCUCUCAUAUGUCUGAAAUCUAAAACUCUAUGCAAUCUAAUUGUGUUGUCUUCCUCAAACUGAACAGUUACUUUCGGUUCCGAUUCUUCUCUUCAACGUUUGCUUCCCACUUUUACUCUAGUAAAGCUCCACUCUUUACUGCAAGAAACCAAAAUGCAUAAAUCUAUUCACAUGCCCUCUGCUCAACACUUUAUAUAUCCCUCUUCUUCAUGGAUUUCUCUUUCACCCAAAUCACGCAAACCUUUUUUUUUCAGAGCAAUCGAUGGGUAUCCAGAAUGGCGAAAUCUACCGGCCAAUCCCUUUAGCUUUUCAUUUGUGUGUGUGUAGGUGGAGCAAACAGCAGCUUCAAAAUCUUAGACGAAAGGCACAGCUUCAAGAUGUUGAACUAGAAGAACAACCAAACAACUAAAGGAGACACUAGAAAUUUCUAGCGAGAUGCAAGGAAGCAAAAGAAGUUAUUAAAUAAAACCACCGCUCAGUUGAAAAACAUGGCUGAAAGACACAUUUUAAAUCAGCUCCGGCCAUCAAGUGUACUUGUCAUAACUCAUUUGGUUUCAGCCAUGAUUACUUUGCCCCUUCUUCUACCACAUUAAACCGUACUUACAGUCGAGAAACAGAGCCUUCUGUCUCAAAACUGUCCCAGCGUUUUCUGAGGGACCAGCACACCUGUUUUUGGUGGUGAAAUUUACCUUCAUCAAGCGAAUCAGGCUGCUGAAUCGAUAUAUAGGAUCAGCACUCUCACAACCUUAGCAGGAGGGGCAAGUGAUCUCAGAUUUUCAAACGCGUCCGUUUCAGUGAUGGCAGCCUAAAGCGGUUUAUCGAGAAACAAGCAGAAGAGUUGUGGGCGGAGAACAAAGGACGAGUUUAUGAACAAUACAAAGUAUGGAUAAUCAUUGACAAAUCAAGUGUCAGUUUAGGAAGUGGAGACUUGUCUCAUCAAUAUUAUUAUCCAGUUGAGCGCAUGGUCGCAUUCAACAUCUUCUGGGUGGCAUUGCAUAACCGAAGAAUCUUCAGAUUUUCUUGGUUUGGUUACACUUUGUUUACUGCAUUUUAUGCAGUUAUAAUAAAAAAAAAUUUAUGACGCAGGACAGAAGAAACCGGUUCCAAAUAAGAUCAAAGCUUUAAACGGGUAAAGGCAAAGCUCCUAGAAAGAUUUCACUCACAACUCGGUCCUGUCCGAGCUUGAAGCGAACAUUUUGGUAAUUGAGUUAAGACAGGUUUAGGUUCCAUACAUUCAAAACGAAUUGUGGUCUCAAAGGUCAUCUCUAUGGUAAGUUAUAUACUGUUAUCUACUACAAUUAAACCUGGAAAUAGUUUGUGUUUGAUGGAAGUUCAAACCACCCUCGCGGUUGCAAUGUUUCUCCUCUCCUGCGGUCUACCAAAUCUAUUGCCCUUAAGUUUUCUGAUUCUUCUUCUGGAGUCCCAACGCUGGACGAGAGGUAGAGUGUAAGCAGCUACCUGGUCAUGGUUGUCCUUCAAUAUGGUUCUGCUGUUCUUAUCAAUGUGCCAAUGCCGUUGUCUCUUAUCUCAACAUGGUUCGUGGACGUGCUGCUGGGCUGUUUAUAGAAAUGAGAAAAGAUGAUCAUUGUCCUAUAACCUUUCUGUUAAAAAUUAGUCUUACUUCAGUAUUUGUCAAGUUUUACGAUGAACAACCCUUCUGUUGAUGUUGUGUUAGAUUAUGCUGUAAGUAGAAGCCUCUAUUGACUGAAGAAAUGCAGGUGGCCCUGACUACAUUGUUCUAAAAACAAUUCUUUUAAUAUAUAAAAAUAUUAAGUUUAGCUUUCUUGUCAACAAUUGUUGAUCUAACUCCUCUAUCUAGUUCAAAUUAACAUAACAUAUACACUCCAUUUUUAUAGUGGUUAGACAAAAAUGAUGUCCAAUAAAUAUAUUUUUCUUUUAUCUCAAAUAAGAAAUUAAAAUUGUAAAUUAGUCAAACUCACAAAUUAAAUAACCACAAAUUUCUCUUAUAUUUUACAAAUAUAAAGAUCAUAUAAAUAUGGUAAACGACAUUUUUUCCCUGGCUAUAAUGUGUUUUUUAUACAUAGAACUUUGCAUACGUAAAUCGUUUACAUAUAAAUUUUGUCCCUGGCUUUAAUUGAAUUUUAAGAAGUCAAUUGUCAAAGAAAAAAAUGUAGUAACCACCAAACAUAUACAGCCUACGUUUCCAUCACAUUUUUAUAUGUUAUAUUCAUUUCAAAAGAACCUAUUUAAGUUAACUAUAUAAUUUAUGUGUCUUAAUAUCAAAUAUUAGUAUGAUACUGAUAUUUAUAAUUAGUCUACUUUUAAGAAAAUAUAAAAUUUUAGUCCUGAAAAUAUUAAAUAUUAAAAUAUAACUUUUAUUAAUUUUAUUAACUUAAUAUUUAUCAAGAAGUUAUGUUAAAAAUUAUUUCUUAUUUAAAAGUGUAUCUAAUUUGGAUUUAAAAUAUACUGUUACAUAUAAAUGUGGAUUAUUAGGUAUAUAUCUGAUUCAAAUAAUAAGAGGAUAUGAAUGAUGUAGGAUUUUAUUCAAAAAAGUGUUGAUAUGUUGUUUUUAGUUUAAUAUUUAUUGAUGUAACAAUUAAUAAAUAAUAAUAAUACAAAAUAAAACAAAUGAAAUUAAACAAAGUACAAAUUAUUUCAACUUCAGUAUUUAUGUAGAAAGUGGUCAAUUUUAUUUAUUUAUUAAAAUAAAUUUAAAUAAAAAUAUAUAUUAUGAUAACUAAAAUAAGAAAAUUUGAGGAUAAAAGUGACAAAAGAUAAAUUUAAACCAUUUAAAUAUAAAAUCAAAUUAUUAAAU